rnacentral:misc_RNA from 1 species
GAAGCACCAGAAAGGAGAUCAGCUAGAGCACUCAUCGCUCGAAUUUGCAUCUCAAGAGCUGGUGCUUCCUCAAGUACUACAGCUCCUCUUGAUCAACUCAGCUCGAGUCGACCUCCUCCUAUUUGAUGAUUUAUGUUUUUCAUGCUUUUCUAUUUUAUCUAUUUUCUUCUCUCCCUUCCUUUGAAUAUUCCUCUGUUACAUAUAUUUCUUCUAUCAUUUCAAGUGUUGGGACAACAAUAUUAGUAAUUGAAUUAUAACUGCCACUAAUAAUUUUGCUUGUUUUGAAAUGGAUCUAGAAUGAAACCUAUCCUAGUUAAUUGACUCAUUGAUUUUAAU